rnacentral:misc_RNA from 1 species
UGGGAUGACAUUGUAUGCAUAACUUGCAGUGUUGGCAAUGGUAUCUUGGGCCUAGUAUCAUUUUACCAACUCCCAACCACAAUAACCCACUCUCACCCUCUCCUCAUGGACAUACCACAGAAGGGUGCUACUGGGAAAAGGAAUAAUUCCAGGCAGAGAUGAUUGAGAGAUGGGAUGACAUUAUAACUGGCAGUGUUGGCAAAGGUAACUUGGUACUAGUAUUA